AAUGACCAUGCUGCGGAAGGAGACUGUUGGGAUUCCUGAAGAGGGCCACCGAAACUUGUGGCAGCUUUGAGGCGGAAGCAGCAGAAUCAGGAGCCAAUUUCAAUGACUGCCACUGUGGCAGACCUGUAGGCUGUCUGAUGUAUGGUGCCAUCGAGCUGCAGAGGGCUGAGGAAAAAACACCACUCUUGACAACCUGAAUCCACCUCUGCUUUGCGCUUUGCACACCACCUUGACAUUCACCUUCUUGUGAGUUGUCCUUGCUGAGGCCUUGCCCACCUUGAUGGAGGAAAUGGCCUUGCACCCAGCCUCAGCACAGGGUCUGGCACCUCACAGUGUCAGUGAUUGUUUCUAGAACAAUCAGAGGUGUGCAGGCCAUCACAGGGAGAGCUCACAGACUCCACAACCACUCCGAGGGGCAGGACUUGUCUUCCAGAAAAUUGAGGGAAGUUUACUCGAGGCACAUGGCUCAUCAGUGGUAGAACUGUGGGUUAAGGCUUGGUCUGUCACCACAGCCCUUUUCCUGAAUUUCUGUGCUCUGCUGAGCCUCAGUUACACUAGCCUAAUUAUUUCCUGCUCAGAAAUCCUAUGUGUUGCUGACUUUUUAUUCAGGGCAACUUAGUCCUCUCAUCUAUGGAUCCCAAAUAUUUCAAAGACCAGGUUCCCCACAAAGUUUACAAAUCUGUCUGAGACCUGGCCUCUGCCUGCACCUCUGGGCCCAUCUCCAGCCACGUGGCAUCCUGAACUGCGCGUGUUCAUCGUGCUGAAACUCUGGUCACUGCUUGCGUGGAACAUGUUUCUUUGGCUGGAUCACUGCAGUGGUUUCAGGUCUCACAUCCAGAUACGUCAACAUCUUGCACAGGAGAAAGAUGGACUAUUUCUUUCCAGAACCUUUCAACAGAUCACGUGUGUGGCUCUCUGGCUGGGAUCUGAUUACAGAGGCACACUCAACCAAGGGCAGUGGUAUUACUGAGAUUAGUUUAAACCAGUCGGGAUGCACCCCAGGGGCUGGGAGUUGGCUUGUGCUGGGGAAGGGUGGGCACCUGAAAGAGUGGACCGUCUGCAAGGAAGAUCUCAGGGUUGGAGUGGACUGUACAUGCUCCCCAGCCCAGUCUUCCUAAAAAGGCUCCUCCCGCUAGCAUUUCAGCCUCCUCACCACCCUGGUUCUCAUUUCUCCAGCCCUUUUCCCCAUUGCCCUUCCCCGCAGUGUCCCUCUUACCUGGGCACGCCCGCUUGCUGUCUUUCCCACACACCUCGCCAAUUCACUUGCUCUGGUGCACUGCUUGCUCAGAAACACUGUCUUCUCUUGGACCAGACCCCAAGCAUUUUCUCUAGGAGGCCAUGCCCCAAUUAACCCAUCCCAUGCAAAUCCCUGCCCUCAUUCCACAGUCCUCUGUCCUGCGGAAGUCUCUCCAUGUGCUGCAUCUGCUGAUGCUUGCAAACUUUCCAAGUUCCUAAGUCACUUCUCCUGCAUUUCUCAGGUAAGUUUUUCUCCCAAACAAGGGUAUGAGUAGACAAGAGUGAUAUCUUCUGAUGUCUUCUUCCCCCAUUAUACGCUCUGUCUCUCUUCUGAUUUCCACAACCACCCCGGGAGGGCAGGCAGUCAGUCAACACCACUCAUUAACUAAUGAGCCAGGAUGUCCUCAGCCUCCCCUCCUGCUCUUGUCCUCGCUCCUCUGAAUGUUCUGCAGGCUGCUGAAAGGCACAGCUCCAGCACCGAGGGCCUGGAAAUCUUAGGAGCAAUUGCUCCUUGGGGCUAGGGUGUUACAUCUCUAGAAAUAAUAUAAGUUCUGUCAUGAACAACCCAGGCACUGUCACUCGGCCAGGAUACAACAGAAGGAAACCAGAACCCACGAAGCACCUACUCUGUGCCAAGGGCUGGUUCCCUGCUUUAGUGGCUUGUCCCUUCCAAGGGUACAUUUGCCAGGGCUGCUUCCUCUGCCCAUCCUUUUGCAUCUCUGCCUGGAGGGGUUCUGCAUACCCUUCACUACUAAAAUAGCACUCUUGGUGAAGCUUCACCUGAAUCCCCCAGGAAAAUUCAUUUCCCCCUCCUCUGUGGUUACACUUCAUGCAAAGCCUUCGUGCAGCCCUAGCCCAGCAUGAGAGUUUCUUAUUUACCUGCCUGCCUCUACUGGUGCGUGACAUCCUUAAGCUCAGGCACCGUUUUUACCCCUGAAUCUUUGGGUUCCCUGAGGAUGGUUCAUGUCUGUCAGGUAACAGGAGCUCAAUAAUUUCACCCCUGUGACAUUAUAUUAAAUUAAUUGUUGCUUAACACAGCAGAAAGCAAAAGUCUGAAAAAGUGAAGAUGUAACUUAACAAAUACAAUGGUUCCUAAAUAUGUAUUUCUCCCCUUUAUUACGGCUUAGGGAUAAAAGAUUGAGAGAAAGAGAAAGAGAUAGAAUAAGUGGGGAUUGAUAAGGACUUUCUCCCUGUUGAAAUGACCUGCUUAUUUAGAGCCGAGAUUUUAUAUCCCGUGGUCCAGCCCAGUACCCAGAGAACAGGAAGUGAUCCAUAAAUACUUCUUUUUUUUUUUUUUAAUUUUUUAUUGGAUUUUAGGUUUUGGGGUACAUGAGCAGAGCAUGUAAGACAUUUGCAUAGGAACACACAUGGCAGUGUGCUUUUCUUUCCUUCUCCCCUUCACCCACAUUUGGCAUUUCUUCCCAGGCUAUCCCUCCCCACCUCCCCCUCCCACUGGCCCUCCCCUUUUCCCCCCAAUAGACCCCAGUGUUUAGUACUCCCCUUUCUGUGUCCAUGUGUUCUCAUUUUUCAUCACCCGCCUAUGAGUGAGAAUAUGCGGUGUUUCAUUUUCUGUUCUUGUGUCAGUUUGCUGAGGAUGACGUUCUCCAGAUUCAUCCAUGUCCCUACAAACAACACAAACUCAUCAUUUCUGAUUGCUGCAUAAUAUUCCAUGGUGUAUAUGUGCCACAUUUUUCCAAUCCAGUCUAUUAUCAAUGGGCAUUUUGGUUGAUUCCAGGUCUUUGCUAUUGUAAACAGUGCUGCAAUGAACAUUCGUGUACAUGUGUCCUUAUAGUAGAACGAUUUAUAGUCUUUUGGAUAUAUACCCAGUAAUGGGAUUGCUGGGUCAAAUGGAAUUUCUAUUUCUAAGGCCUUGAGGAAUCGCCACACUGUCUUCCACAAUGGUUGAACUAAUUUACACUCCCACCAACAGUGUAAAAGUGUUCCUUUUUCUCCACAUCCUCUCCAGCAUCUGUUGUCUCCAGAUUUUUUAAUGAUCACCAUUCUAACUGGCGUGAGAUGGUAUCUCAAUGUGGUUUUGAUUUGCAUCUCUCUCAUGACCAGUGACGAUGAGCAUUUUUUCAUAUGAUUGUUGGCCAUAUAUAUGUCUUCUUUCGAAAAGUGUCUGUUCAUAUCCUUUGCCCACUUUUGAAUGGGCUUGUUUGUUUUUUUCCUGUAAAUCCGUUUGAGUUCUUUGUAAAUUCUGGAUAUCAGCCCUUUGUCAGAUGGGUAAACUGCAAAAAUUUUUUCCCAUUCUGUUGGUUGCUGAUCCACUCUAGUGACUGUUUCUUUUGCCGUGCAGAAGCUGUGGAGUUUCAUUAGGUCCCAUUUGUCUAUUUUGGCUUUUGUUGCCAAUGCUUUUGGUGUUUUGUUCAUGAAGUCCUUGCCUACUCCUAUGUCCUGGAUAGUUUUGCCUAGAUUUCCUUCUAGGGUUUUUAUGGUGCCAGGUCUUACGUUUAAGUCUUUAAUCCAUCUGGAGUUAAUUUUAGUGUAAGGUGUCAGGAAGGGGUCCAGUUUCUGCUUUCUGCACAUGGCUAGCCAGUUUUCCCAACACCAUUUGUUAAACAGGGAAUCCUUUCCCCCUUGCUUGUUUUUGUCAGGUUUAUCAAAGAUUGUAUAGUUGUAGAUUUGUUGUGUUGCCUCCAGUGCCUCUGUUUUGUUCCAUUGGUCUAUAUCUCUGUUUUGGUACCAGUACCAUGCUGUUUUGAUUACUGUAGCCUUGUAGUAUAGUUUGAAAUCCGGUAGUGUGAUGCCCCCCGCUGUGUUCUUUUUGCUUAGAAUUGCCUUGGCUAUGUGGGCUCUCUUUUGGUUCCAUAUGAAGUUCAUGGUGGUUUUUCCAAGUUCUGUGAAGAAAGUCAAUGGUAGCUUGAUGGGGAUAGCGUUGAUUCUGUAAAUUACUUUGGGCAGUAUAGCCAUUUUCACGAUAUUAAUUCUUCCUAACCAUGAACAUGGAAUGUUUCUCCAUCUGUUUGUGUCCUCUCUGAUUUCGUUGAGCAGUGGUUUGUAGUUCUCCUUGAAGAGGUCCCUUACGUUCCUUGUGAGUUGUAUUCCAAGGUAUUUUAUUCUUUUUGUAGCAAUUGUGAAUGGCAGUUCGUUCUUGAUUUGGCUUUCUUUAAGUCUGUUAUUGGUGUAGACGAAUGCUUGUGAUUUUUGCACAUUGAUUUUAUAUCCUGAGACUUUGCUGAAGUUGCUUAUCAGUUUCAGGAGUUUUUGGGCUGAGGUGAUGGGGUCUUCUAGAUAUACUAUCAUGUUGUCUGCAAAUAGAGACAAUUUGGCUUCCUCCUUUCCUAUUUGAAUACCCUUUAUUUCUUUUUCUUGCCUGAUUGCUCUGGCUAGAACUUCCAGAACUAUAUUGAAUAGGAGUGGUGAAAGAGGGCAUCCUUGUCUAGUGCCAGAUUUCAAAGGAAAUGCUUCCAGUUUUUGCCCAUUCAGUAUGAUAUUGGCUGUUGGUUUGUCAUAAAUAGCUUUUAUUACUUUGAGAUACGUUCCAUCGAUACCAAGUUUAUUGAGGGUUUUUAGCAUAAAGGGCUGUUGAAUUUUGUCAAAUGCCUUCUCUGCGUCAAUUGAGAGAUAAUCAUGUGGUUUUUGUUUUUGGUUCUGUUUAUGUGGUCAAUUACGUUUAUAGACUUGCGUAUGUUGAACCAGCCUUGCAUCCCCGGGAUGAAUCCUACUUGAUCAUGGUGAAUACGUUUUUUGAUUUGCUGUUGCAUUCGGCUUGCCAAUAUUUUAUUGAAGAUUUUUGCAUCUAUGUUCAUCAUGGAUAUUGGCCUGAAGUUUUCUUUUCUUGUUGGGUCUCUGCCGGGUUUUGGUAUCAGGAUGAUGUUGGUCUCGUAAAAUGAUUUGGGAAGGAUUCCCUCUUUUUGGAUUGUUUGAAAUAGUUUUAGAAGGAAUGGUACAAGCUCCUCUUUGUGUGUCUGGUAGAAUUCGGCUGUGAACCCGUCUGGACCUGGGCUUUUUUUGUGUGGUAGGCUCUUAAUUGCUGCCUCGACUUCUGACCUUGUUAUUGGUCUAUUCAUAGUUUCAGCUUCCUCCUGGUUUAGGCUUGGGAGGACACAAGAGUCCAGGAAUUUAUCCAUUUCUUCCAGGUUUACUAGUUUAUGUGCAUACAGUAUUUUGUAAUAUUCUCUGAUGAUGGUUUGAAUUUCUGUGGAAUCUGUGGUGAUUUUCCCUUUAUCAUUUUUUAUUGCAUCUAUUUGGUUGUUUUCUCUUUUAUUUUUAAUCAAUCUGGCUAGUGGUCUGUCUAUUUUGUUGAUCUUUUCAAAAAACCAGCUCUUGGAUUUAUUGAUUUUUUUGAAGGGUUUUUCGUAUCUCAAUCUCCUUCAGUUCAGCUCUGAUCUUAGUUAUUUCUUGUCUUCUGCUGGGUUUUGAGUUUUUUUUGAUCUUGCUCCUCUAACUCUUUCAAUUUUGACGAUAGGGUGUCAAUUUUGGAUCUCUCCAUUCUCCUCAUAUGGGCACUUAUUGCUAUAUACUUUCCUCUAGAGACUGCUUUAAAUGUGUCCCAGAGGUUCUGGCAUGUUGUGUCUUCGUUCUCAUUGGUUUCGAAGAACUUCUUUAUUUCUGACUUCAUUUCAUUGUUUACCCAGUCAACAUUCAAGAGCCAGUUGUUCAGUUUCCAUGAAGCUGUGCGGUUCAGGGUUGGUUUCUGUAUUCUGAGUUCUAACUUGAUUGCACUAUGGUCUGAGAGGCUGUGAUUUCAGUUGUUUUGCAUUUGUUGAGCAGUGCUUUACUUCCAAUUAUGUGGUCAAUUUUUGAGUAGGUGUGAUGUGGUGCUGAGAAGAAUGUGUAUUCUGUGGAUUUGGGGUGGAGAGUUCUGUAAAUGUCUAUCAGGUUUGCUUGCUCCAGGUCUGAGUUCAAGCCCUGGAUAUCCUUGUUGAUUUUCUGUCUGGUUGAUCUGUCUAAUAUUGACAGUGGAGUGUUAAAGUCUCCCACUAUUAUUGUGUGGGAGUCUAAGUCUCUUUGUAAGUCAUUAAGAACUUGCCUUAUGUAUCUGGGUGCUCCUGCAUUGGGUCCAUAUAUGUUUAGGAUCGUUAGCUCUUCUUGUUUUAUCGAUCCUUUUACCAGUAUGUAAUGGCCUUCUUUGUCUCUUUUGAUCUUUGUUGCUUUAAAGUCUAUUUUAUCAGAGAUGAGAAUUGCAACUCCUGCUUUUUUUUGCUCUCCAUUUGCUUGGUAAAUCUUCCUCCAUCCCUUUAGUUUGAGCCUUUGUGUAUCCUUGCAUGUGAGAUGGGUUUCCUGGAUACAGCACACUGAUGGGUUUUGAAUUUUUAUCCAAUUUGCCAGUCUGUGUCUUUUGAUUGGUGCAUUUAGUCCAUUUACAUUCAGGGUUAGUAUUGUUAUGUGUGAAUUUGAUACUGCCAUUUUGAUGCUAAGUGGAUGUUUUGCCCGUUAGUUGUUGUAGAAUCUUCAUUAUGUUGAUGCUCUUUAACUUUGUCUCUUGUGUGUGAUUUUGGAAUGGCUGGUACUGGUUGUUCCUUUCUAUGUGUAGUGCCUCUUUUAGGAGCUCUUGUAAAGCAGGCCUGGUGGUGACAAAAUCUCUGAGUACUUGCUUGUUCACAAAGGAUUUUAUUUUUCCUUCACUUCUGAAGCUCAGUUUGGCUGGAUAUGAAAUUCUGGGUUGAAAGUUCUUUUCUUUAAGAAUGUUGAAUAUUGGCCCCCACUCUCUUCUGGCUUGUAGUGUUUCUGCCGAGAGAUCUGCUGUGAGUCUGAUGGGCUUCCCUUUGUGGGUGACCCGACCUUUCUCUCUGGCUGCCCUUAGUAUUUUCUCCUUUAUUUCAACCUUGUUGAAUCUGACGAUUAUGUGCCUUGGGGUUGCUCUUCUUGCAGAAUAUCUUUGUGGUGUUCUCUGUAUUUCCUGCAGUUGAGUGUUGGCCUGUCUUGCUAGGUGGGGGAAAUUUUCCUGGAUGAUGUCCUGAAGAGUAUUUUCCAGCUUGGAUUCAUUCUCUUCGUCCCCUUCUGGUACACCUAUCAAACGUAGAUUAGGUCGUUUCACAUAGUCCCACAUUUCUUGGAGACUUUGUUCAUUCCUUUUUGCGCUUUUUUCUCUAAUCUUGGUUUCUCAUUUAAUUUCAUUGAGUUGGUCUUCGACUUCAGAUAUUCUUUCUUCUGCUUGGUCAAUUCGGCUAUUGAAACUUGUGCAUGCUUCACGAAGUUCUCGUAUUGUGUUUUUCAGCCCCUUUAAUUCAUUCAUAUUCCUCUCUAAGUUAUCCAUUCUUGUUAUCAUUUCCUCAUAUCUUUUUUUAAGUUCCUUAGUUUCUUUGCAUUGAUUUAAUACAUGUUCUUUUAGCUCACUAAAGUUUCUCAUUAUCCACCUUCUGAAGUCUAAUUCCGUCAUUUCGUCACAGUCAUUCUCCGUCCAGCUUUGCUCCCUUGCUGGUGAGGAGUUUUGGUCCUUUCUAGGAGGCGAGGUGUUCUGGUUUCGGGUGUUUUCCUCCUUUUUUCGCUGGUUUCUUCCCAUCUUUGUGGGUAUCCGCUUGUCCUCUGCGUAGUUGCUGACUUUUCGAUUGGGUCUCUGAGUGGACACCCAGAUUGUUGAUGAUGAGGUAUUUCUGUUACUUGGUUUUCCUUCUACCAGCCUAGCCCCUUCGCUGUACGACUGCUGAGGUCCACUCCAGGCCCUGCUUGUCUGGGGUGCAUCUCUAGCAGCUGUGGCACAGUGAGGGAUGCUACCCGUUUCUUUUUCUGCUAUCUUUGUCCCAGGAUGAUGCCUGCCAAAUGUCAGUCUUUUGGAUAUAGAGGGGUCAGGGAGCUGCUUGAGGAGACAGUCUGUACUUUUUUGGAGCUCAAUUGCUGAGCUGUGAGCUCUGUUGUUCAUUCAGGGCUGUUAGGCUGCUAUGUUUGAUUCUGCUGCAACAGAGCUCAUAAAAAAAACCCUUUUUUUCUCAAAUGCUCUGUGUUGGGGGGUUCGGGCUUUAUUUUUCGAUGUCCGAUGAGGUGUCCUGCCCAGCUAGAAGGCAGACUAGCCACUGUUUGGCUGCCGAGUCUCCGCCCUGCUGUUGUGUGAUUCGCCCUGUUCCUGCAGGCUCUGCUGUGGUCUCCGCCACGCCCUGCGGCGGAGUCUCUUCGUUGUAGAGGGUUGCCUCGGCAACAGCAGGCUGCGUCAGCAGUGGGCGUGUAUCUCAGUUGGGGCGGGUUGCCUCGGUAGUGGUGGACGCCCCUCCCCCACAGAGCGUCUCGGACCGUCUGCUUGGGAUAGUUUGAAAUCGCGGUUUUGUUCGUCCCACUGGGUGUCCCAAAUGAUCUGUCCCUGCAAUCCCCUGGGCUGGCCUACUGUCCAAGUCUCGUUCAGUCUCAAGUCCAGCCCUCUCAAGUCUCAGGUUGCCGGUUCAACAGUGCACCCGGACAAGCGCGCCCUGUGGGGAUUGCUGGGUAGGGCCGGCCGCUGCCGCCCCGGCUGCCUGCUUCGCCAGGCAGACCUACUGCCUGGCGUCCCGUGUCUUUUUUAUACUUGGGAGUUUCCCCGUUCUGUGGGCAACAAAGAUCAGUCUGGAAAUGCAACUCCGACUCACCGUUUGCGGAUUCAACGAGAGCUCCAAUCCUGGGUUGUUCUCACAGCGCCAUCUUGAGUCCUCCAUAAAUACUUCUUGAAUGAAUAAACGGUAUAUGGGUCAGGUUGUACUUCGGGAUGGAAUUCUGAGGCUUGACUGGGAUAGGGCAUGAGGAACCUGGAAUCUAAGAUGGGCUAGGGAAGCCCCCAGUGAGGGAAUAAUCACCUUUACCGAUUUAACCAUUUUGCCCAGGGCCCGCCUGCCACUCAGGCCUGUGGUUGAUCGACCAGCCCCACCCUCCCUUUGCCCCCCACCCGCAGCCCAUCCUGGGCUCAGUGCCUGCGCAGUCCCAUUUUAGGCCUUGGGCUGAGGCCUGAGGUCAAGUGGAUGAGACCUGUCCUCAUGCAUGCCAGGCCCCUGGCAAAAGACAAGCAAAGACCCAAAGACCAUAUAUGAUAAACCAAGAGGAUAAACUAUGUGAUAAAAUAUAUUCUAGCUUCCUCCUUUGACAAACAUGCCUCAGCAGAAAGCAUAUUAUGUACAAAAGUACAGUUCCUGUAUGACCAAAAUUGAGCCCAAUAUCCAAGAUGACUGAAUUAAAUCAUUCUUACACAUGUCUUGGCGUUCGGUUGAUGGGCCAAUGAUGUUGGCGCGGGUAAUGAAAUAAAUACACACAUAAUUCAUAAACUACGACAUCUUCACCCACACAUUUUAGUUUUCAUGUUUUUAUUUUAACAAAAUCAUAAAAUUAUGUUGCUGUAUAAUCAAGAUAUUCAUGUCAUCUGUGUUCUAUUGAUGGUCAUGAUCUGGAGUUUUGUAUUUAAAACAUCUAAAGUUUUAACAUAUUUUUAUCAUAAAGUGUAGAUUAAACUAAAGGUAAACUAUUUGAAUGUACAUUUUUCAUGUUUUCAAAAAAAGAAUUUUCUUUGUAUUAAAAUAUGCCUAUUAAAAUUAAGAGGGCCAUACCUUUAUGAUUAAUGGAUGUGAACAUUUUUAAUCAAAAUUAUUUAAACGAAACUAAAUAAAAUUCUGGUG